GGGCAUAUGGUUUAGUGGUAUAAUACUCCCUUAGCAUGCGGCUCAGCCGAUCACGUGACUGGGAGUGGUCCUGGGUUCGAUUCCCAGUUUGUCCA
rnacentral:tRNA from 1 species